rnacentral:lncRNA from 1 species
AACUCUUUUAAUUCUGAUAAGUCCAUAAAUCAAGAUUGAUGUUUAGUAACAUGUCAUAACUACCCAAAAAAUUUAAAAUUUGAUAAAAAUACUAAAAUUAUCCUUUCAUGGUGAGUUACUGUGUAAUUCAAUCCUUCGAUCACACAACAUCUCAAAAAAGUCAUGGAUAUGAAAAUAUGUCAAUCUCAAAUAUCUAUCUAUAUAUAUCUUGAUCUGAUGAUGAUGAUUCAAUUGAUAAAUCAAUAAAAAUUAUUUCUAGUAUUUAUCCCUCCUCUGGCUAGAGACUCUCAAAGUUAUCAUCCUAUG